UACGUAGGGCGCAAGCGUUGUCCGGAAUUAUUGGGCGUAAAGAGCUCGUAGGUGGCUUGUCACGUCGGGUGUGAAAGCUUGGGGCUUAACUCCAGGUCUGCAUUCGAUACGGGCUGGCUAGAGUCCGGUAGGGGAGCGUGGAAUUCCUGGUGUAGCGGUGAAAUGCGCAGAUAUCAGGAGGAACACCAGCGGCGAAGGCGGCGCUCUGGGCCGGUACUGACGCUGAGGAGCGAAAGCGUGGGGAUCAAACAGG
rnacentral:rRNA from 1 species